GAUGAACGCUAGCGACAGGCUUAACACAUGCAAGUCGAGGGGCAGCACAGGUAGCAAUACCGGGUGGCGACCGGCGCACGGGUGAGUAACGCGUAUGCAACUUACCUAUCAGAGGGGGAUAACCCGGCGAAAGUCGGACUAAUACCGCAUGAAGCAGGGGUCCCGCAUGGGGAUAUUUGCUAAAGAUUCAUCGCUGAUAGAUAGGCAUGCGUUCCAUUAGGCAGUUGGCGGGGUAACGGCCCACCAAACCGACGAUGGAUAGGGGUUCUGAGAGGAAGGUCCCCCACAUUGGUACUGAGACACGGACCAAACUCCUACGGGAGGCAGCAGUGAGGAAUAUUGGUCAAUGGCCGAGAGGCUGAACCAGCCAAGUCGCGUGAGGGAGGAAGGUUCUAUGGAUCGUAAACCUCUUUUAUAAGGGAAGAAAGUGCGGGACGUGUCCCGUUUUGUAUGUACCUUAUGAAUAAGGAUCGGCUAACUCCGUG
rnacentral:rRNA from 1 species